AUGGUGGACGGGCACGGGAGACGGAGCGAUCCGGCGCGGCGGCGCGAAGUCCUUGCAGGUGGCGCACCUCGGCCGUCAUCGAGGCCGCUGCCGCCUGCCGGUGCAACGAGGCAGAGGAGGAUCUCCUGGUUUUGCUCCGUCGCCAACUCCAAGUUCACGGUCGUGGUUCUAAUCCCUCUCUUGCCACUCCACUGUUUUCAGGGGACCUUACACUGUUUUGAUUUAUUGUAUACGUGCAGUUCAUCUCUCAGUCGCUGGCUGGAUUGUGUCUAUAUCUCUCAUCGUUUUGUCAAUCAGAUAACCUAUCAGUAG
rnacentral:rRNA from 1 species